rnacentral:rRNA from 1 species
UCAGACGCGGACCGAAAAAGAGUAGGGAAGCUGUUAAGCAAGCCGUCAAGAAAAGCUGCUAUUGUUUCAUUAUGGCCCGUACCGUAAACCGACACAGGUGGAUGGGGAGAGAAUCCUAAGGCCGGCGGAAGAAGUAUUGUUAAGGAACUCGGCAAAAUGACCCCGUAACUUCGGGAGAAGGGGUGCCUGCGAGAGCAGGCCGCAGAGAAGAGGCCCAAGCAACUGUUUAGCAAAAACACAGGUCUAUGCAAAACCGAAAGGUGAGGUAUAUGGGCUGACGCCUGCCCGGUGCUGGAAGGUUAAGGGGAGUGGUCAGGAAACGAAGCCACGAACUUAAGCCCCAGUAAACGGCGGCCGUAACAAUAACGGUCCUAAGGUAGCGAAAUUCCUUGUCGGGUAAGUUCCGACCCGCACGAAAGGCGUAAUGAUUUGGGCGCUGUCUCGACAAUACAUCCGGUGAAAUUGAAGUGCCAGUGAAGAUGCUGGCUACCUGCGCCAGGACGGAAAGACCCCAUGGAGCUUUACUCCAGCUUGAUACUGGGACCCGGUAUUGCAUGUACAGGAUAGGUGGGAGGCUAGGAAAUGUGGACGCCAGUCUGCAUGGAGCCGCUGUUGGGAUACCACCCUUGUGGUGCUGGGUUUCUAACCAGAGGCCGUGAACCGGUCUGGGGACAAUGUCAGGUGGGGAGUUUGACUGGGGCGGUCGCCUCCGAAAGGGUAUCGGAGGCGCCCAAAGGUUCCCUCAGAAUGGUUGGAAACCAUUCGAAGAAUGCAAAGGCAGAAGGGAGCUUGACUGCGACACCGACGGGUGGAGCAGGUACGAAAGUAGGGCUUAGUGAUCCGGUGGAAUUUAAGUGGGAAUGCCAUCGCUCAACGGAUAAAAGCUACCCUGGGAUAACAGGCUGAUCACUCCCAAGAGUUCACAUCGACGGAGUGGUUUGGCACCUUGAUGUCGGCUCAUCGCAUCCUGGGGCUGAAGUCGGUCCCAAGGGUUGGGCUGUUCGCCCAUUAAAGCGGUACGCGAGCUGGGUUCAGAACGUCGUGAGACAGUUCGGUCCCUAUCCGGCGUGGGCGUAGGAUAUCUGAGAGGAGCUGUCCUUAGUACGAGAGGACCGGGAUGGACUGACCUCUGGUGUACCGGUUGGCGAUCAACGCCACGGCCGGGUAGCCAUGUCGGGACGGGAUAAACGCUGAAGGCAUCUAAGCGUGAAGCCCCCCCUCAAGAUGAGAUAUCCCAUCGUAAGAGUAAGACCCCUUGAAGACGUCGAGGUUGAUAGGGCAGGGGUGGAAGUGCUGUAAGGCAUGGAGCUGACUGCUACUAAUCGGUCGAGGGCUUGACCG